rnacentral:tRNA from 1 species
AAAUAGAUUCUACAUAAAGCUUCUAACUUUAUCCUUAAUAUUUAAAAAUAUUACUAUUUU